AGCCAUAUCACGUUGAAACACCGGUUCCGGUACCAUCAUCGAAGUUAAUCAACACCGAGCCUGGCCAGUACCUAGAAAGGUGACCCCUUGGGAAUACCAGGUGCAGUAA